rnacentral:lncRNA from 1 species
UAAAUUGGAAGCCACUUAAAGGUCAUCCCAGUACCUUUUCCCUUGUGCUUUCCUCAGGGUUAGCGAGCACACGGUUUUCUCAGAAGACCGAAUUUCCUCCCUCAGUGGUGCGGAGUCUGGAGAUGCAAGGGGAAGCUUGCUUGGACAGCCCUCAGCCGAAGAGAGCUGGCAGCCCAGGGAGGAGCUGUGGGAAACCAGUGACUGCGGAGUGUCCCCGCCGCCGCCGCUGCUGGUCAGACUCUCCCCCGCGCCCGCAUGUGUGUGGCAGACACUGGUGUGCAGUCCACACAACAUUCUCAGAGCAGGUGUCUCUCACCCCCUUAGCGGGUGAGGAGACGGGCUCGCUGAGGCCGAACGGUCCGUCCCAUCCGGCACCAGCCCGGAAGCCUCGAGUUGCCCCCGCGUGCCUGGCUCUCGGCUCGAGCUCGGAAUCAGCUGAGUGGUUUCCCUCCCCACUGGUGCUGGAGAAGGCAGAGGAGCAGCUGGCUUCUCCGGGCGGGGAAGUCUUUUCGAAGAGGAUACAGGAGAAGGCAGGUUUGAGGGAGGAGGAAAACACGGCACGGGAAGGAGAGCGCAUGGGACAGCAUGGCAGGGCUGGCUGGAUGAUGCAGAAACCAUACCCCUGCCCACCAAAAGGACGCACGUGCUAUGGCUACUUAAAGGUAUGGACACCGAAUACAGAUCAAUGUUUCACUGAGGACAUGAGAAUCUGGGACCAUGUAAGAAGUGGGUGGAGCUAAUGUUGCAAUUACAGCAAGUGGCCUGGCUGGCCGGGGGGGUCAGUCACUCCCAAGGCACGUGUGAAGCCCAUAGCAGACAUUACCAUUGACCUUGACCCUCUCCUACAGUGAGCCCUGCCAUCAAGGUCCUCAGUCCCGCUGAGUACAGGUAGGUGAUUGGAGAGGCCACAAUGGGUGUAGGCUUGUGUUCUUCACCGGACUAAGGUAGAGUCCCUCUCCCUGUGGUGCAAUACAGUGGCUCUUUGGGAGACAAUACACAGGAGAAGAAAUGCACAA